UGUUUCCAUUAAUCAAGAACGAAAGUUAGAGGAUCGAAGGCGAUCAGAUACCGCCCUAGUUCUAACCAUCAACGAUGCCAGCCAGCGAUCCGGCUGUGUUCCUCAAAUGACACGCCGGGCAGCUUCCGGGAAACCAAAGCCUUUGGGUUCCGGGGAAAG
rnacentral:rRNA from 1 species